AUACGGAGGGGGUUAGCGUUGUUCGGAAUUACUGGGCGUAAAGCGCACGUAGGCGGAUUGGAAAGUUGGGGGUGAAAUCCCAGGGCUCAACCCUGGAACUGCCUCCAAAACUAACAGUCUAGAGUUCGAGAGAGGUGAGUGGAAUUCCAAGUGUAGAGGUGAAAUUCGUAGAUAUUCGGAGGAACACCAGUGGCGAAGGCGGCUCACUGGCUCGAUACUGACGCUGAGGUGCGAAAGCGUGGGGAGCAAACAGGAUUAGAAACCCUAGUAGUCC
rnacentral:rRNA from 1 species